GGGACACGUGGUAUCCUGUCUGAAUAUGGGGGGACCAUCCUCCAAGGCUAAAUACUCCUGACUGACCGAUAGUGAACCAGUACCGUGAGGGAAAGGCGAAAAGAACCCCGGCGAGGGGAGUGAAAAAGAACCUGAAACCGUGUACGUACAAGCAGUGGGAGCACGCUUAGGCGUGUGACUGCGUACCUUUUGUAUAAUGGGUCAGCGACUUAUAUUCUGUAGCAAGGUUAACCGAAUAGGGGAGCCGAAGGGAAACCGAGUCUUAACUGGGCGUUAAGUUGCAGGGUAUAGACCCGAAACCCGGUGAUCUAGCCAUGGGCAGGUUGAAGGUUGGGUAACACUAACUGGAGGACCGAACCGACUAAUGUUGAAAAAUUAGCGGAUGACUUGUGGCUGGGGGUGAAAGGCCAAUCAAACCGGGAGAUAGCUGGUUCUCCCCGAAAGCUAUUUAGGUAGCGCCUCGUGAAUUCAUCUCCGGGGGUAGAGCACUGUUUCGGCAAGGGGGUCAUCCCGACUUACCAACCCGAUGCAAACUGCGAAUACCGGAGAAUGUUAUCACGGGAGACACACGGCGGGUGCUAACGUCCGUCGUGAAGAGGGAAACAACCCAGACCGCCAGCUAAGGUCCCAAAGUCAUGGUUAAGUGGGAAACGAUGUGGGAAGGCCCAGACAGCCAGGAUGUUGGCUUAGAAGCAGCCAUCAUUUAAAGAAAGCGUAAUAG
rnacentral:rRNA from 1 species